rnacentral:tRNA from 1 species
GCGGGAAUGGCGGAAUUGGCAGACGCGCUAGGUUGAGGGCCUAGUGACCGAUAAGGUCGUGCAGGUUCAAGUCCUGUUUCCCGCA